CGCCUCCUCGCAGGCCGAAUCUCCUCCUCCCACCACGACGAGCGGCUGAUUCCGGAACAUCGGCAACGCCCCAUCGCACGUGGCGCAGUAGGUCACUCCCUUCGUCUCAAGCUCCGUUUCUCCGGGAACAUCCAGAUGACGAUGCCCAGCGCCGGUGGAAAUGAUCAGGGUUUUGGUUUCGAUCGUGCGGUUUCCCGCACGGAUUUUAUGGGCGGGUUUUCCAAAAAUUACCUCGUCGGCCACCACGCCAAACUCCACCUCCAAGGCUAAAUACUCGUAAUCGACCGAUAGCGAACAAGUACCGUGAGGGAAAGGCGAAAAGAACCCCGGGAGGGGAGUGAAAUAGAUCCUGAAACCGCAUGCAUACAAACAGUCGGAGCCUCCUUGAGGGGUGACGGCGUACCUUUUGUAUAAUGGGUCAGCGACUUACGUUUAGUGGCAAGCUUAACCGAAUAGGGGAGGCGCAGGGAAACCGAGUCCGAAUAGGGCGAUCAGUCGCUAGGCGUAGACCCGAAACCAGAUGAUCUAUCCAUGGCCAGGAUGAAGGUAGGGUAACACCUGCUGGAGGUCCGAACCGACUACUGUUGCAAAAGUAGCGGAUGAGCUGUGGAUAGGGGUGAAAGGCUAAACAAAUCUGGAAAUAGCUGGUUCUCCCCGAAAACUAUUUAGGUAGUGCCUCAUGUAUGGCUCCAGGGGGUAGAGCACUGUCAUCAUUGCGGGGGUCAUUGCGAUUUACCGCGUGAUAGCAAACUCCGAAUACCUGGAAGUCUGAGCAUGGGAGACAGUCCUCGGGUGCUAACGUCCGAGGUCGAGAGGGAAACAACCCAGACCGCCAGCUAAGGUCCCCAAGCAUGACUAAGUGGGAAACGAAGUGGGAAGGCUAAAACAGUCAGGAGGUUGGCUUAGAAGCAGCCACCCUUUAAAGAAAGCGUAAUAGCUCACUAGUCGAGUCGUCCUGCGCGGAAGAUGUAACGGGGCUCAAACCACGCGCCGAAGCUGCGGAUACGUGCUUGCACGUAUGGUAGGAGAGCGUUCGGUAAGCCUGUGAAGGUGGCUCGCAAGGGCUGCUGGAGAUAUCCGAAGUGCGAAUGCUGACAUGAGUAGCGAUAAAACGAGUGAAAAGCUCGUUCGCCGAAAGCCCAAGGUUUCCUGCGCAACGUUCAUCGGCGCAGGGUGAGUCGGCCCCUAAGGCGAGGCUGAAAAGCGUAGUCGAUGGGAAAUCGGUCAAUAUUCCGAUACCUUUCUUGAAUGCGAUGGGGGGACGGAGAAGGUUAGGUCAGCCGGGUGUUGGACGUCCCGGUUUAAGCGUGUAGGCGGAUCCCUUAGGCAAAUCCGGGGGGUCAACGCAGAGGCGUGAUGACGAGCAGACUUGUCUGCGAAGUGACUGAUACCAAGCUUCCAGGAAAAGCCUCUAAGCUUCAGUUCAAGAAAGACCGUACCGCAAACCGACACUGGUGCGCGAGAUGAGUAUUCUAAGGCGCUUGAGAGAACUCUGGAGAAGGAACUCGGCAAAUUGACACCGUAACUUCGGAAGAAGGUGUGCCCUGAGUAGGUGAACCGGUACAUGGGGAGCCCAAAGGGGUCGCAGAGAAUCGGUGGCUGCGACUGUUUAUUAAAAACACAGCACUCUGCAAAGAUGAAAGUCGACGUAUAGGGUGUGACGCCUGCCCGGUGCUGGAAGAUUAAAUGAUGGGGUGAGAGCUCUUGAUUGAAGUCCCAGUAAACGGCGGCCGUAACUAUAACGGUCCUAAGGUAGCGAAAUUCCUUGUCGGGUAAGUUCCGACCUGCACGAAUGGCGUAACGAUGGCCACGCUGUCUCCUCCAGAGACUCAGCGAAGUUGAAAUGUUUGUGAUGAUGCAAUCUCCCCGCGGAAAGACGGAAAGACCCCAUGAACCUUUACUGUAGCUUUACAUUGGACUUUGAACAGAUCUGUGUAGGAUAGGUGGGAGGCUUUGAAGUGAGGAUGCUAGUUCUCAUGGAGCCGACGUUGAAAUACCACCCUGGUGUGUUUGAGGUUCUAACCUUGUCCCGUGAUCCGGGAUGGGGACAGUGUAUGGUGGGCAGUUUGACUGGGGCGGUCUCCUCCCAAAGCGUAACGGAGGAGUUCGAAGGUACGCUAGGCACGGUCGGAAAUCGUGCUGAUAGUGCAUAGGCAUAAGCGUGCUUGACUGUGAGACUGACAAGUCGAACAGGUACGAAAGUAGGACUAAGUGAUCCGGUGGUUCUGUAUGGAAGGGCCAUCGCUCAACGGAUAAAAGGUACUCUGGGGAUAACAGGCUGAUACCGCCCAAGAGUUCAUAUCGACGGCGGUGUUUGGCACCUCGAUGUCGGCUCAUCUCAUCCUGGGGCUGUAGCCGGUCCCAAGGGUAUGGCUGUUCGCCAUUUAAAGAGGUACGUGAGCUGGGUUUAAAACGUCGUGAGACAGUUUGGUCCCUAUCUUCCGUGGGCGCUGCAGAUUUGAGGAAGCCUGCUCCUAGUACGAGAGGACC
rnacentral:rRNA from 1 species